GGUCUUAUAGUCAAAUCAAUGAUUUUAAAUUGCAAAUUUAAAGGUGGCUUUAAGCCCUAAGGCUU
rnacentral:tRNA from 1 species